rnacentral:lncRNA from 1 species
GAAGUCACUCAAGGACUCAAAUUCCUUCCAUUUUCCACCCACCAUUCCCUUAGGUGAUAUCAUUAGUGGGUUGUGGUCACACUCACUGGUUCCCAUCUGUGGAAAAGAAAAACAGAGGAACGCCAAGGCAAACAGCUUAUUUUUAAAGUUGCCUCAUUAUUCAAAAUGGCUGCCAAGACUCCAAGCAUCAUACAUCCCAUUUCACUCAAUAGAAAGGAAAAACACCCUUCUAUCAUAGAGGUCAUCAUCCACAUUCCACAGAUGAGAAAAGGAAGCUUGGAGAAGGAAGCUCCAGGCUGCACACCUAUUGCUGAGGAGAGCUGAAAUUCCAACCAUGUUUCUCCAGCUCCAAAGUCUGUGCCUCUACCACUUGAUAUAAAAGACCAUGUGAUCACAUCACUAGCUACAAACAGUUCUAACUAAAUGUAAGCUAUCCUGGAAUUCAUCCCUAAAAUGGAGUGAUCUG